AGAUUGAACGCUGGCGGCGUGCUUAACACAUGCAAGUCGAGCGGUAACGCGGGAGCAAUCCUGGCGACGAGCGGCGAACGGGUGAGUAAUGCUUGGGAAUCUGCCCAUUAGUGGGGAACAACCAGCCGAAAGGUUGGCUAAUACCGCAUACGCCCUACGGGGGAAAGCGGGGGAUCGAAAGACCUCGCGCUAAUGGAUGAGCCCAAGUCGGAUUAGCUUGUUGGUAGGGUAACGGCCUACCAAGGCGACAAUCCGUAGCUGGUCUGAGAGGACGACCAGCCACACUGGGACUGAGACACGGCCCAGACUCCUACGGGAGGCAGCAGUGGGGGAAUAUUGGACAAUGGGGGGCAACCCUGAUCCAGCGACGCCGCGUGUGUGAAGAAGGCCUGCGGGUUGUAAAGCACUUUUAGUGGGGAUGAAAAGCUCAGGGUUAACACCUCUGGGUCUUGACCUAACCCACAGAAAAGCACCGGCUAACUCUGUGCCAGCAGCCGC
rnacentral:rRNA from 1 species